CUCAGAUUGAACGCUGGCGGCAUGCCUUACACAUGCAAGUCGAACGGCAGCGGGCCUUCGGGGUGCCGGCGAGUGGCGAACGGGUGAGUAAUGUAUCGGAACGUACCAUUCAGUGGGGGAUAACGUAGCGAAAGUUACGCUAAUACCGCAUAUUCUGUGCGCAGGAAAGCAGGGGAUCGCAAGACCUUGCGCUGAUUGAAGCGGCCGAUAUCAGAUUAGCUAGUUGGUGAGGUAAGAGCUCACCAAGGCGACGAUCUGUAGCGGGUCUGAGAGGAUGAUCCGCCACACUGGAACUGAGACACGGUCCAGACUCCUACGGGAGGCAGCAGUGGGGAAUUUUGGACAAUGGGGGCAACCCUGAUCCAGCCAUGCCGCGUGAGUGAAGAAGGCCUUCGGGUUGUAAAGCUCUUUCAGCCGGGAAGAAAAUGCAUGGGUUAAUACCCUGUGCAGAUGACGGUACCGGAAUAAGAAGCACCGGCUAACUACGUG
rnacentral:rRNA from 1 species